ACCCUUAGAUGUUCCGGGCAGCACGCGCGCUACAAUGGUCUUCGCAAACGGAUGCAUUCUCGAAGGAGAAUGCCAAUCUUGGAAUCUAUGCCUUGGUCGGGACAGUUGCUUGCAAUUUUUCGACUCGAACCAGGAAUUCCUUGUAAUCGUGAUUCAUCACAUCACGAUGAAUACGUCCCUGCCCUUUGUACACACCGCCCGUCGCUCCUACCGAUCGAAGAGUUAGGUGAAUUGUUUUGAUCGAUAAGAUUUGACUAUGGUCAACUCUCGUUGUGAAAUUCUGUGAAUCUGACUGUUUAGAGGAAGGAAAAGUCGUAACA
rnacentral:rRNA from 1 species